GACUCCGUAGCUCAACUGGAUAGAGCAGCUGCCUUCUAAGCAGCAGGUUGCAGGUUCGAGUCCUGCCGGGGUCGCCA
rnacentral:tRNA from 3 species